rnacentral:rRNA from 1 species
GACGAACGCUGGCGGCGUGCUUAACACAUGCAAGUCGAACGGGCCCGCCCCUGUUUUUGGGGGUGGGUUGAGUGGCGAACGGGUGAGUAUCACGUGAGUAACCUGCCCCCUGCUCCUGGAUAACUGCUUGAAAGGGCGGCUAAUACGGGGUGUGCCGGCUGGUCCGCAUGGGCCUGGUCGGGAUAGUUUCAUCUUCGGGUGUUUCGGUGGGGGAUGGGCUCGCGGCCUAUCAGCUUGUUGGUGGGGUGAUGGCCCACCAAGGCGGUGACGGGUAGCCGGCCUGAGAGGGUGGGUGGCCACACUGGGACUGAGACACGGCCCAGACUCCUGCGGGAGGCAGCAGUGGGGGGUAUUGCACAAUGGGCGGAAGCCUGAGGCAGCGACGUCGCGUGAGGGAUGGAGGCCGUCGGGUUGUGAACCUCUUUCUCCGGUGGUGAAGGCCCUGUCCGUUGCGGCGGGGUUGACGGUAGCCGGGGAUGAAGCGCCGGCUAACUACGUG